UAUGUACUCCCUCCGUCCGGAAAUACUUGUCCUCGAAAUGGUUGUAUCUAGACUUAUUUUAAUUAUAGAUACAUCCAUUUUAUCCAUUUCUAGGACAAGUAUUUCCGGAGGGAGGGAGUAAUAU
rnacentral:pre_miRNA from 1 species